rnacentral:rRNA from 1 species
UGGUUUGUCGCGUUGUUCGUGAAAUCUCACGGCUUAACUGUGAGCGUGCGGGCGAUACGGGCAGACUUGAGUACUGCAGGGGAGACUGGAAUUCCUGGUGUAGCGGUGGAAUGCGCAGAUAUCAGGAGGAACACCGGUGGCGAAGGCGGGUCUCUGGGCAGUAACUGACGCUGAGGAGCGAAAGCGUGGGGAGCGAACAGGAUUAGAUACCCUGGAUAGUCCACGCCGUAGACGGUGGGUACUUGGUGUGGGUUUCCUUCCUUGGGAUCCGUGCCGUAGCUAACGCAUUAAGUACCCCGCCUGGGGAGUACGGCCGCAAGGCUAAAACUCAAAGAAAUUGACGGGGGCCCGCACAAGCGGCGGAGCAUGUGGAUUAAUUCGAUGCAACGCGAAGAACCUUACCUGGGUUUGACAUGCACAGGACGCCGGCAGAGAUGUCGGUUCCCUUGUGGCCUGUGUGCAGGUGGUGCAUGGCUGUCGUCAGCUCGUGUCGUGAGAUGUUGGGUUAAGUCCCGCAACGAGCGCAACCCUUGUCUCAUGUUGCCAGCGGGUAAUGCCGGGGACUCGUGAGAGACUGCCGGGGUCAACUCGGAGGAAGGUGGGGAUGACGUCGAGUCAUCAUGCCCCUUAUGUCCAGGGCUUCACACAUGCUACAAUGGCCGGUACAAAGGGCUGCGAUGCCGCGAGGUUAAGCGAAUCCUUUUAAAGCCGGUCUCAGUUCGGAUCGGGGUCUGCAACUCGACCCCGUGAAGUCGGAGUCGCUA